GGGGAUUCUGCGAGGCCCGGUCGCAACCUAGGCGCGGCGUCUCCUUCUGACGCAAAGAACGCGCGGGAUCACUUCCGGGGCCGCGCUCCUGUUUUGGUUCUAGUCGCUCUGCUUGGUGUCAGGAAUAAGCAGGCAGUACCGACUCCCAAAGGCUCAAACAGCAAGAAAGGCACUAACUAGUACACCUAAGGAUGUGCACAGGAUUGGCAUUUGGGCCUGUGUAGGGGAAACAUCUGCCCAGCCUAUAUCAGAGAAGCAGAUGAAGAACACAAAAAGGAGCUUUCUUCAGCUACUGCUUAUAUGCAAGUGGUCAUUUCAUUACCCGGUAAGAGGAAGAACGGCUUCAUUUGGACAACUCUGGAGAAUCUAACAUUGUACGUCAAGUAUGUCAGCUGAACCAGUCAUACUUUUUAAAGAAUUGAGUCAAAUACAGUCUGAAUUAAUUUUAUAAGGCAGAGGGACUUCUGUAUCCACUGCUUUUAGAAAAGAAAGCAUGGCUGUUUAAAUAUCUCCACAUGUUUAAUUGAGACACAUCCCUGGACACACUACACUUGACUGCUGAAACCAUGUCAGUAGAAACCACUGAAGUUUAUUGGCGGUCACAAUGCUUACACUGUAUGCAGCAAACACCCUUACAAGUCUAUCCGCAACCUGAUCACGCAAGAAAAGAUUCACCACACAGUCGCCAGAGGAGAAGGAAAAUCAACAGGCUUGUUUGUGAGGGUUGAAGAAAAGAAAAAUAAAACCUAAUUGAUUAAUGUCCCAUGGGUAAGAGCUGAACUAGAGAUGAGUACAACUAGCAGCAACAGUUGUGGAAAAGUACAAGGCAUAGCUUUCUCCAUUGAAUUUUCCUCUGUAGGCUCACUUUUCUUUUUUAAUAUUCAAAACAUUUAUUAUGUUUUUUAUUUUAUAAAAAUGUAUAUUUUUCAAGGGAGAAUGUUAAAUACUUCAUGCUAGGUAGACCUUGUUAUUAAGAACCCCUCCUCUGUAGUAACUUCCUCCAGUUCAUACAUUCAUGAGUGCAGGGUACAUACAUAAAUAUCCACACACACAUCCACACACACUGCCUCAAGGGCUGGGGAAGACAAAGUUAUGGUCACACACAUCAGGCCUCUGGUGGACUCAUGCAAAUUGCUCAACAAGAGAGCAAAUGGCUCAAUUCUCCAUUGUCUCCCUUACAGAGACCAAGAAUCCUAAAACAUAAAUCAAAUUUUUAACAGCAAGAGGCAUCUGUCUGAGGAUGAGGGUUAGUAAAAUGGGAGAAAGGAUGGAGAUAAGCAGAUCAGAAAUUUUUA